rnacentral:rRNA from 1 species
CAGUCGCCACGGGAAUACGUAGGGUGCAAGCGUUAAUCGGAAUUACUGGGCGUAAAGCGUGCGCAGGCGGUUUGUUAAGAUAGAUGUGAAAUCCCCGGGCUCAACCUGGGAACUGCAUUUGUGACUGGCAAGCUAGAGUCUGGCAGAGGGGGGUGGAAUUCCGCGUGUAGCAGUGAAAUGCGUAGAUAUGCGGAGGAACACCGAUGGCGAAGGCAGCCCCCUGGGCCAAUACUGACGCUCAUGCACGAAAGCGUGGGGAGCAAACAGGAUUAGAUACCCCAGUAGUCCCUGUCUCUUAUAC